UACGGAGGAUGCAAGCGUUAUCCGGAUUUAUUGGGUUUAAAGGGUGCGUAGGCGGGAAAAUAAGUCAGUGGCGAAAUCCUACAGCUUAACUGUAGAAUUGCCGUUGAUACUGUUUUUCUUGAGUAUGGUCAAGGAAGGCGGAAUGUGUAAUGUAGCGGUGAAAUGCUUAGAUAUUACACAGAACACCAAUUGCGAAGGCAGCUUUCUGGCCCAUUACUGACGCUGAGGCACGAAAGCGUGGGGAGCAAACAGGAUUAGAUACCCUGGUA
rnacentral:rRNA from 1 species